rnacentral:rRNA from 1 species
CUACGGGAGGCUGCAGUGAGGAAUAUUGCACAAUGGGGGGAACCCUGAUGCAGCAACGCCGCGUGGAGGAUGACGCAUUUCGGUGUGUAAACUCCUUUUAUAUGUCAAGAAAAUGACGGUAGCAUAUGAAUAAGCACCGGCUAACUCCGUGCCAGCAGCCGCGGUAAUACGGAGGGUGCAAGCGUUACUCUGAAUCACUGGGCGUAAAGGACGCGUAGGCGGGCUUGUAAGUCAGGUGUGAAAUCCUACAGCUUAACUGUAGAACUGCACUUGAAACUACGAGCCUAGAGUAUGGGAGGGGGAGAUGGAAUUAGUGGUGUAGGGGUAAAAUCCGUAGAUAUCACUAGGAAUACCUAAAGCGAAGGCGAUCUCCUGGAACAUUACUGACGCUAAGGCGUGAAAGCGUGGGGAGCAAACAGGAUUAGAUACCCCGGUAGUC